GUUUGGUAUAGUCUGGUAGGCCAAGAGCAGGAGCAGAAGCAAUAGCACGUUUGAGAGAACAGAAGUUGUCAAGGGCUUCUGUGGACAAGCAAAAUGGGUCUGACUUGAGAGCACCAUAAAGAGGUUGCAUAAGGAGCGAGGCUUCUGGGAUCCAUGCUCGGCAAUAGGAAAUGAGGCCUAGGAAGGCGUGUAGUGACUUCGAGGUCCUUGGAGGUGGAAUGUCCAGUACUGCUCUAACUCGGUCACGGGUAAGAUGUCUGGUUUCCUGAGACAGACAAUGGCCAAGGAAGAUAACAGUAGGUUGGCAGAAUUGCAGCUUGAGACGUGAAGCUUUAAAUCCUUGUUCUGCUAGGUAGCAAAGAAGAUUAAGUGAGCAUUGUUCUGUUGUGGGUAGAUCAUCU
rnacentral:lncRNA from 1 species